rnacentral:rRNA from 1 species
AUAGUAGUAAAGGUUGUUUUUGAGUAGUAUUAGUAUACUUGAAACUAAAAGAGUUUGGCGGUUCUUAAGUCUCCCCAGAGGAACCUGUUGUGCUAAUCGAUAGUCCCCGAGGAUUUACUAAUAUAAAUAUUUGUAUAUCGUUGUCAUCAGAAUAAUUUUUAGAAUAUUUUCAGGUAAUAUAUUAUUUAAAAUGUCAAAUCAAGGUGCAGUUUGUGUAUUAGGUUACUAUGGGUUACAAUAUCUAAGGAUAUUACGGAGGUUAAUUUGAAAUAGAAGAU